rnacentral:rRNA from 1 species
AUUGAACGCUGGCGGCAGGCCUAACACAUGCAAGUCGAACGAGUGGCGGACUGGUGAGUAAUGUCUGGGAACCUGCCCGAUGGAGGGGGAUGACUACUGUAAACGGUAGCUAAUACCGCAUACCGUCGUUUGUGCUCAGAUGGGAUUAGGGAGCAGGUGGGGUAACGGCUCACCUAGGCGACGAUCCCUAGCUGGUCUGAGAGGAUGACCAGCCACACUGGAACUGAGACACGGUCCAGACUCCUACGGGAGGCAGCAGUGGGGAAUAUUGCACAAUGGGCGAAAGCCUGAUGCAGCCAUGCCGCGUGUAUGAAGAAGGCCUUCGGGUUGUAAAGUACUUUCAGCGAGGAGGCGUUACUCAAAGAGGAAGCACCGGCUAACUCCGUGCCAGCAGCCGCGGUAAUUC